rnacentral:rRNA from 1 species
AUUGAACGCUGGCGGCAUGCCUUACACAUGCAAGUCGAACGGUAACAGGCCGCAAGGUGCUGACGAGUGGCGAACGGGUGAGUAAUGCAUCGGAACGUGCCCAGUUGUGGGGGAUAACUGCUCGAAAGAGCAGCUAAUACCGCAUACGACCUGAGGGUGAAAGCGGGGGAUCGCAAGACCUCGCGCAAUUGGAGCGGCCGAUGUCAGAUUAGGUAGUUGGUGGGGUAAAGGCCUACCAAGCCGACGAUCUGUAGUUGGUCUGAGAGGACGACCAGCCACACUGGGACUGAGACACGGCCCAGACUCCUACGGGAGGCAGCAGUGGGGAAUUUUGGACAAUGGGCGCAAGCCUGAUCCAGCAAUGCCGCGUGCAGGAAGAAGGCCUUCGGGUUGUAAACUGCUUUUGUCAGGGAAGAAAUCCUCUGGGUUAAUACCCCGGGGGGAUGACGGUACCUGAAGAAUAAGCACCGGCUAACUCCGUGCCAGCAGCCGCCGUAACAC